CAGUCCAUCACUGAGGAAAGUCAGGGCAGGAAUUCAAGCAGGAGCGGAGGAGGAGCCAUGAAGGAACACAGCUUACUGCUUCACGUUCGGUUACCUUUCUUAGACAACCCAGGACCACCUACCUGCCUAGGGAUGAUGCUGCCCACAUUGGUCUGGACCCUCUCACAUCAACCAACAAUCAAGAAAAAGCCCCACAGACUUGCACACAGGCCAGUCUGAUGGAGGCAGUGCCUCUGUCAAAGUUCCCUCCUCCCGUGUAACAAUAGUUUGUGUCAGAGGGAUGAAAACUAACCAGCACAGAGGAUAGAGGGGUCUGCCGCAUCAUACUGUGGAGGUCAGAGACAAUUUGUGGGAAAUGGUCUUCCUCUGUGUGGGUUCUGUGCCUUAAACUCCAGGCAUCAGGCUUGGUGCCAAGUACCUUUACCACCGAGCCAGCGCACAGGCCCUUUUGUUGCCCUUUGUGUGGACUGAUUCCAUUAAUUCCUUAAACAUACAGCUUCCACAGUGUGCUAGUAACCCCAUCUCAGCAGCCACUGCUCUCUGACACCCCAGUCUCAGAGCAAGGAGGCUGCAGCUCACUGUCCAUCUCUGGGUACUGAGACAGUGUAGGCAGGAGCAUUCCAUACAUUGCAAAGGCCCUUGUGUGAAAAUCCCAGCUUGUGCUCACAGUGAAGGGCCAGGGUAUCGGGGCCAGGAGACAACAGCUCAUGGCCCAUCCCAGCCCUCCUGUUCAGGAACCCGAGGGUGCUGUGGUGAACUUCAGAGCCUUGUAAAAACCUUUUGAUAAAUGAACACAGGGCUGACCUGCACGGGGCCCUGACAGGACAGACUCUUCACAUAAAUCUUGUGUGUGCUUGAAAAUUCCCUCUCCACUGGCAUCUCCAAGGCUCUGAUUUGUAGCAGAAACCCCUUGAUGUGGUUGGUUCCCAAGCAUCCAUCCAAGCCCCAAAAGUUCUGGAAAAGGCAGAACACAAGGGGAGGAGGAAAGCAAAGUUAGACAGGGAGAGUGAUCUCCAACUGCCCAUGUGCACACUGGGUAUAUUGGGCAAGCCAGCUUUAGUCCUGCACUUUAGUCCUGAUGGAGAUAGUUAUCAUUGCCAGUUGUUCACUAAGUGCUGGGUGCUUACUAAGUACAGGGGGGAGGGUCUAUGUUCACUUAAUGUGCUAAGGUUCCAAAUAGUGGUCCCAUGUCUCCAAGGUCACAGAGCUGGGAAGUGUCGGGGCUGGAGUUGAACCCAGACCGUCUGUUCCAAGUGCCUUGCUCUAACCUGCCACCCUUAAUGUACAGCUCCUGGCUUGCAGGCCUACCUUUCCAAAUACUUCCCUAUUAAAGCAUUCCUGUCCCUCUUAGUGUCCUGCACCAGAAACUGGUAGUUUUGCUCACCAUCCUGCGUGUGGCUCUACCGGCAGCUGUACCUUCAGCCGGGUCCCAAAGCCCUUGGACCCAGAGUUUCCCAGUGGCUUCCUCAGAUUCUGGCUCACAAAGAAGGCUGUGUCCAUAUGUCCCUCUGAGUCACCAGGACCUGCCCUAGCCCCAGCUGUCAUCUUGGUCUUCUCUCUAGAGUGGCUGGCCUAUCCUGGACUUCUUCACAGUGUCUGAUGCUGAACUGGAGGAUGGCACUUUGUCUUCUUCUGUGAGUUCUCACUGUAAUCCCAGCUGACCUCACACUUCAGCAGCCCCCUUGCCUCGUCCUCCCCAGUGCUGAGAUUGCUGGAGUGAGCCCCCAUGCCUGGCUGGGCAUUGUGCUUUUGAAAACCUGAAGCUCCUGCCUUUGGCUCCUGAUUGAGGCCUCCGGCCUCCUUCAGCUCCUGGCUUCUCAGUCUCUCCAGCAUGCAGACAGCCAUCAUUGGACCCCCAAGUCCUUCCUGUGUAAGUCAUUCUAGUGACUCUCCCUUUAUAAUAAACACCUCAUCAGUUCUA